rnacentral:rRNA from 1 species
UACGUAGGGUGCAAGCGUUGUCCGGAAUUAUUGGGCGUAAAGAGCUCGUAGGCGGUUUGUCGCGUCUGCUGUGAAAUCCGGAGGCUCAACCUCCGGCCUGCAGUGGGUACGGGCAGACUAGAGUGCGGUAGGGGAGAUUGGAAUUCCUGGUGUAGCGGUGGAAUGCGCAGAUAUCAGGAGGAACACCAAUGGCGAAGGCAGAUCGCUGGGCCGUAACUGACGCUGAGGGACGAAAGGAGGGGGAGCGAA